rnacentral:rRNA from 1 species
UGGCUGUCGUCAGCUCGUGUCGUGAGAUGUUGGGUUAAGUCCCGUAACGAGCGCAACCCUUGUCCUUAGUUACCAGCACGUAAUGGUGGGCACUCUAAGGAGACUGCCGGUGACAAACCGGAGGAUGGUGGGGAUGACGUCAAGUCAUCAUGGCCCUUACGGCCUGGGCUACACACGUGCUACAAUGGUCGGUACAGAGGGUUGCCAAGCCGCGAGGUGGAGCUAAUCCCACAAAACCGAUCGUAGUCCGGAUCGCAGUCUGCAACUCGACUGCGUGAAGUCGGAAUCGCUAGUAAUCGCAAAUCAGAAUGUCGGCGGUGAAUACGUUCCCGGGUCUUGUACACACCGCA